rnacentral:rRNA from 1 species
GAUGAACGCUGGCGGCGUGCCUAAUACAUGCAAGUCGAGCGAACAGACGAGGAGCUUGCUCCUCUGACGUUAGCGGCGCACGGGUGAGUAACACGUGGAUAACCUACCUAUAAGACUGGGAUAACUUCGGGAAACCGGAGCUAAUACCGGAGAAUAUAUUGAACCGCAUGGUUCAAUAGUGAAAGACGGUUUUGCUGUCACUUAUAGCUGGAUCCGCGCCGCAUUAGCUAGUUGGUAAGGUAACGGCUUACCAAGGCAACGAUGCGUAGCCGACCGGAGAGGGUGAUAGGCCACACUGGAAGUGGGACACGGUCCAGACUCCUACGGGAGGCAGCAGUAGGGAACCGUCCGCAAUGGGCGAAAGCCUGACGGAGCAACGCCGCGUGAGUGAUGAAGGUCUUCGGAUCGUAAAACUCUGUUAUUAGGGAAGAACAACUGUGUAAGGAACUAUGCACGUCGUGACGGUACCUAAUCAGAAAGCCACGGCUAACUACGUG